AUUGAACGCUGGCGGCAUGCUUUACACAUGCAAGUCGAACGGUAACAGGGAGCUUGCUCCGCUGACGAGUGGCGAACGGGUGAGUAAUGCGUCGGAACGUGCCGAGUAGUGGGGGAUAACGCAUCGAAAGGUGUGCUAAUACCGCAUACGUACUGAGGUAGAAAGUGGGGGACCUUCGGGCCUCACGCUAUUCGAGCGGCCGACGUCUGAUUAGCUAGUUGGUGAGGUAAAGGCUCACCAAGGCGACGAUCAGUAGCGGGUCUGAGAGGAUGAUCCGCCACACUGGGACUGAGACACGGCCCAGACUCCUACGGGAGGCAGCAGUGGGGAAUUUUGGACAAUGGGCGCAAGCCUGAUCCAGCCAUGCCGCGUGUCUGAAGAAGGCCUUCGGGUUGUAAAGGACUUUUGUCCGGGAGCAAAUGCCUGGUGUUAAUAGCAUCGGGAGCUGAGAGUACCGGAAGAAUAAGCACCGGCUAACUACGUG
rnacentral:rRNA from 1 species